rnacentral:rRNA from 1 species
AUUGAACGCUGGCGGCAGGCUUAACACAUGCAAGUCGAACGAGUGGCGGACGGGUGAGUAAUGCUUGGGAAUAUGCCUUAUGGUGGGGGACAACAGUUGGAAACGACUGCUAAUACCGCAUACCAUAAGCGUAGCCCAAGUGGGAUUAGCUAGUUGGUAAGGUAAUGGCUUACCAAGGCGACGAUCCCUAGUUGGUCUUAGAGGAUGACCAGCCACACUGGAACUGAGACACGGUCCAGACUCCUACGGGAGGCAGCAGUGGGGAAUAUUGCACAAUGGGCGCAAGCCUGAUGCAGCCAUGCCGCGUGUAUGAAGAAGGCCCUAGGGUUGUAAAGUACUUUCAGUCGGGAGGCGUUACCGACAGAAGAAGCACCGGCUAACUCCGUGCCAGCAGCCGCGGUAAUUC